ACUCCCUCCGUUUAUAAAUUUUCGUGUUAAAUUUUGAUCGUCCGUUUUAUUUAAGUUUUUUUAUGAUUAGUAUUUUUAUUGUUAUACAACAUGAAUAGUAUUUUACACGUGGCUUAUGUUUUUUUAGUUUUUUUAAAAAAAUUUAAAUAAGACAGACUAUCAAAGUUGAACACGGAAACUUAUGGUUGCGCUUAUU
rfam:Oryza meridionalis cultivar OR44 (W2112) chromosome 5, whole genome shotgun sequence.